UUUCCUUUAAAGUAGCAUUUCAUCAGUGCUUUUUUUAUUCUUAUGAAUAGGAUUAAUAAUUAGCACCAAUAGUUACUCACACAGAAGAGACAAAUAGAGCUAAAUAUAUAAAUAUAUGAUUGCAAAAUAAAUGGAAUACAAUAGAGUGGUUUACAUGUAAAACCCCCUUCUGUUAUACAACUUAAAAUAUGAGCAGUAAGUGAAAAUUAAACAGUAACCAAACAAUACAAAAAGAGACAAGUAGAGGUCAACAUAAAGUUUUCAUAAACAUUUUCUACUUAUAUAUACAUAUAUAUAAAUCUACAGCAAAAAGAUGACCUUUAUUUAUUUUCAGUUUGAAGAGCUUUACUAUGUAUUGAUGUCAUGUAACUCUGUCUAAUUUAUUUAUUACUAUUGGUUAGAUGGCAUUAUAGUCUAAUUGUAUAAAAAUGUUUUCUUAUUUUUUUUUAUUAAAGAACAUACAGAAAUAAAUUUUAAUUCUAAUUGAUAAAACUCUGAAAGGGGAGAUAAUCAAGAGUUGUUCCAUUAGAAGUAGAAUUACACCCGUUCUAUUAGUAGACAAAAAGUAAAAUGAUAUCAUCACAAUAUUAAUUGUAUAAAGAAUAAAGUGGUUUACCAAGAAAUACAAACACAAAAUAUAUGAGGAAUAUGUCAAUGAGACAGCAACUGAACAAUACAAAAAGAGACAAGUAGAGGUCAGUACAUGGUCUACAGAGAAAUUCAAACUUUUAGAUAUAUAUGAAAAUAAUUUGUAGCAAAAUAAAAGUGACCUUCUAAUUUACAGUUUGUUUUUUUUUAGUUUGAAGAUAUAAUAAUACUAUGCGCUGAUGUAGUUGAAGGCUAGGGCAAGUCAUACCUAUUGAUUGAAGAUAGUUUACUGUGAACUCAUGUGAUCCAAGGUCCAGUUAAUUUAAUACUACAUGUAUUGUUUGAAGAGCUAAUAACUACUGUGUACUGAUGUCAUGUGUUUCAAGGCCCAGUUAAGUUGUUAUUACAUUUGUAUUGUUUGAAGAUAUAAUAAUACUAUGCGCUGAUGUAGUUGAAGGCUAGGGCAAGUCAUACCUAUUGAUUGAAGAUAGUUUACUGUGAACUCAUGUGAUCCAAGGUCCAGUUAAUUUAAUACUACAUGUAUUGUUUGAAGAGCUAAUAACUACUGUGUACUGAUGUCAUGUGUUUCAAGGCCACAUUAAGUUGUUAUUACAUUUGUAUUGAUUGAAGAUAGUUUACUGUGAACUCAUGUGAUCCAAGGUCCAAUUAAUUUAAUACUACAUGUAUUGUACGAAGAUUUAUAACCAAGUACUGAUGUAAUUAAAGGUCCAUUCAAUUUAUAUUAUGUCUCAUAUAAAGAAAAGAAAGGUGCCAUGCACUUUUGUAGUCCAUCAAAAUGGGAAAAAGAAAACAAUAACUAAGUCAUACAAACCUUUAUCAUCAAUUGAUAAAACUGCUGGUGCCAAAAAUGAUAAAGAUGAAACUAUAAAUGCACAGGUGAUGAACAAUGAACCAGAAAGAAAUGGUGAUGUACAGCUGAACAAUGAGCAUGAAACACCUUUUACAGUUGACCCUAAAAAUAAAUAUGCUAAAGCCAAGUUCCAACGUUUAAACCAUUGGUCAGAAUUAUGCAAGAAGCUGGUGUCUGCAGCAAAAGAAAAAGAAGCAGUAGUCAAUUUUAAAUGCCAGGAUUGUGGAAUUGAAAACCUUGAUCUCUACCGAUGCAUAGAUUGUAUAUCUUGGCCAGUUAUAUGUGAAAGUUGUCUGGAAAUUAGGCAUCAAUUUCCACAUUUACAUGUUUUUGAGAAA